CCUACGGGAGGCUGCAGUGGGGAAUAUUGCACAAUGGGGGAAACCCUGAUGCAGCAACGCCGCGUGAAGGAAGACGGUUUUCGGAUUGUAAACUUCUGUUCUUAGUGAAGAAGAAUGACGGUAGCUAAGGAGCAAGCCACGGCUAACUACGUGCCAGCAGCCGCGGUAAUACGGAGGAUGCGAGCGUUAUCCGGAUUUAUUGGGUUAAAAGGGUGCGUAGGCGGAAUAUCAAGUCAGCGGUAAAAAUUCGGGGCUCAACCCCGUCGUGCCGUUGAAACUGAUGUUCUUGAGUGGGCGAGAAGUAUGCGGAAUGCGUGGUGUAGCGGUGAAAUGCAUAGAUAUCACGCAGAACUCCGAUUGCGAAGGCAGCAUACCGGCGCCCAACUGACGCUGAAGCACGAAAGCGUGGGUAUCGAACAGGAUUAGAUACCCGAGUAGUC
rnacentral:rRNA from 1 species